UAUAUUAUUAAAACAACAAACAUUGUAGGGCUAAGAUUAAGCAAAAGUUAAACGUACGAUAACAUCCGUUAGAUCAGAUUUAUUGGAUAAUCUCCGAAGCGCACGACUUUGGUUGCCCUAAAAAAGCCUACCACAUCUAGCCGCCAGAACUCCAUAGAUCCAAACGUUUUCCUAUGAUUUUCUGUCACCAACUAUCGGACGUCGCCACCAAACCAUCGCCGGCCGCCUUGCGCUGCGGCCUCCUCCGUGCUCAACUGUUGACGAUCGAUGUGGCUCCCUGCCUUCGUCGUCUUGAGGAUGAUGCCCCAUGUCACACGAGGUAGGUGAAGCAGCGGGGAUGGAGUGCACAGUGCAGGACUCAGAUGCAGCUGCGCAGGGCAUUGCAGGCACGAGGUUACCCUAAUUUGUAAUUAGGUUUACUUGAUUGAUGUGGCGCUGAUGCGGGCGUUGGGCUGCUGCUACACUAUGUGCGCUCGGACCAAGGGGACAUGGAGGCACGGCCGCUGUUCGCUGCUGUCGGAUGGAGGUUGACCCACUCGGCAUUGGCAUGGAGCGGCCACGCAGGAGCUGCAGCGAUGGAACAAGGCGGAAUUAGCGAUCGAGCGGAAAGAACGAAAAAAAUGAAGAUACUGUUAGGGUGCUGCUGGUCACCGGGAUAGGAGCAGGUGGAAACCCGAAAGGAGCUGCACUGGGUGAUCGAUGGGUAGAGGAAGAACCGGCUACAAAGGAAUCAGAGAAUAGCUGCAUGGGACACAAUGUUCUUGCCUUCUUGGGCUCUAUUCACGGAUAGAUGGUGGUGCUCCCCAACAAGUUUGUAUUCGUUGUUUUGGCUCUACAUAUUUUGUCUUUCACGUUCUAGGUUCAGUUGGUAAAAUAUUAUACUAUCUUGGUUUGCAUCGCCUGAGAUGAAUUUUAAAAAUUUAUACGCAUAUGACGAGCAGUGUUCAUGGAAGGUAUUGAGGCUCAGAUCAAAACUC